rnacentral:rRNA from 1 species
UACGGGGGGGGGCAAGCGCUGUUCGGAAUUACUGGGCGUAAAGGGCUUGUAGGUGGCCAACUAAGUCAGACGUGAAAUCCCUCGGCUUAACCGGGGAACUGCGUCUGAUACUGGAUGGCUUGAAUCCGGGAGAGGGAUGCAGAAUUCCAGGUGUAGCGGUGAAAUGCGUAGAUAUCUGGAGGAAUACCGGUGGCGAAGGCGGCAUCCUGGACCGGCAUUGACGCUGAUGAGCGAAAGCUAGGGGAGCAAACGGG